rnacentral:rRNA from 1 species
AGAGUUUGAUCAUGGCUCAGGAUGAACGCUAGCUACAGGCUUAACACAUGCAAGUCGAGGGGAAACGACAUCGAAAGCUUGCUUUUGAUGGGCGUCGACCGGCGCACGGGUGAGUAACGCGUAUCCAACCUGCCCAUCACUUGGGGAUAACCUUGCGAAAGUAAGACUAAUACCCAAUGAUAUCUCUAGAAGGCAUCUGAAAGAGAUUAAAGAUUUAUCGGUGAUGGAUGGGGAUGCGUCUGAUUAGCUUGGUUGGCGGGUAACGGCCACCAAGCAACGAUCAGUAGGGGUUCUGAGAGGAAGGUCCCCCANAUUGGAACUGAGACACGGUCCAAACGUCCUACGGGAGGCA